UACGGGGGGCAAGCGUUGUUCGGAAUUACUGGGCGUAGAGGGCUCGUAGGCGGCCAACUAAGUCGGAUGUGAAAUCCCCAGGCUUAACCUGGGAACUGCAUCCGAUACUGGAUGGCUUGAAUCCGGGAGGGGGAUGCGGAAUUCCAGGUGUAGCGGUGAAAUGCGUAGAUAUCAGGAGGAACACCGGUGGUGUAGACGGCUUUCUGGACCGUAACUGACGCUGAGACACGAAAAGCGUGGGUAGCAAACAGG
rnacentral:rRNA from 1 species